AAAAAUUAAUGUUGAAAGGAAAAUGAUGCUGUUGAAGAGAUUUAGUGAUUUGUGUUUAGAUAUUAUUGAUGACAAUGCUCUUCUUGUUAAAUUGUGGGAUGCUGCUGCUGUUGCCUAUGAUGAUGCUAUAACAGCAACUGGAACAAUUUGAAAUGCGCACAUAUUUCUAUGCAAUGCAAGCCCAGGUUUUGACACAUUAACGGGACCAAACACACUGCCACUGAGUUCAGAACUUGCCUCACCAUUUUAUUCAUGAAAACAAUUCAUCAUAGCAACAGGAGAAGCAAUGGGGCCAUAGAAAAUCUACCUCAAUAAUUUUCAUCCAGCCCAUAUCAGAAUUGAUGAUGAUGGUACAUUGAGAGAGAGAUAAAAAUUAAAAGUGAGAC